GCCAUUUGCCAGCCCUGCCUAAUGCGUGGAGUCGAGCGAAUGACGAGAAGCUUGCUUCUUGAUUUAGCGGCGGACGGGUGAGUAACACGUGGGCAACCUGCCCUACAGAUCGGGAUAACUCAGGAAACCUGGGCUAAUACCGGAUAAUCCUUCGAAUCACAUGUUUUGAAGUUGAAAGGCGCUUCGGCGUCACUGUAGGAUGGGCCCGCGGUGCAUUAGCUAGUUGGUGGGGUAACGGCCUACCAAGGCAACGAUGCAUAGCCGACCUGAGAGGGUGAUCGGCCACAUUGGGACUGAGACACGGCCCAAACUCCUACGGGAGGCAGCAGUAGGGAAUCUUCCACAAUGGACGAAAGUCUGAUGGAGCAACGCCGCGGGAGUGAUGAAGGUUUUCGGAUCGUAAAACUCUGUUGUAAGGGAAGAACAAGUACGUUAGGAAAUGAACGUACCUUGACGGUACCUUAUUAAAAGCCACGGCUAACUACGUGCCAGCAGCCGCGGUAAUACGUAGGUGGCAAGCGUUGUCCGGAUUUAUUGGGCGUAAAGCGCGCGCAGGUGGUUUCUUAAGUCUGAUGUGAAAGCCCACGGCUCAACCGUGGAGGGUCAUUGGAAACUGGGGAACUUGAGUGCAGAAAAGGAUAGUGGAAUUCCAAGUGUAGCGGUGAAAUGCGUAGAGAUUUGGAGGAACACCAGUGGCGAAGGCGACUGUCUGGUCUGUAACUGACACUGAGGCGCGAAAGCGUGGGGAGCAAACAGGAUUAGAUACCCUGGUAGUCCACGCCGUAAACGAUGAGUGCUAAGUGUUAGGGGGUUUCCGCCCCUUAGUGCUGCAGCUAACGCAUUAUGCACUCCGCCCUGCGGAGUACGACCGCAGGGUUGACACUCAAAGGAAUUGACAGGGGCCCCGCACAAGCUGGUGGAGCAUGUGGUCUAGAUUCAGAAGCACGCGAAGCAUCCUUACCAUCUGACAUCCCAAUGACCGUCUAGAGAU
rnacentral:rRNA from 1 species